AAACUAAGAGGUGGAAAGUGACCUUCCAUACGCCUACGGCAUAGGAAACUACGCAAGGGGUGAUAGAAGCCCGUAACAGGUUAAGCUGACGAGGAUAAGAGAUUUCGGAUUGGUCUCCGAACUUAGUAU
rnacentral:ncRNA from 1 species